GCCGGGGUGGCAGAGCGGACUAACGCGGCAGGCUCGAGACCUGUUGUCCCUUUCAGGGACUCUUGGGUUCAAAUCCCAACCCCGGCG
rnacentral:tRNA from 1 species